GGUGAACCGGAGCCCAAUUUUUUUCAACCCGAAACCGGAUUCCACAUGUUUCCGUCAUGGUUAUGCCGAUACCAAAAACCCAUACACGUGCGACUAUGAAUGAAACCUGACUCCAUGUUUUCAUCCCUAAUUGAAAUCCUUAGGUUAAAAUGGAGAAUUGGCCUACGCAGAAUUUCGAUCCCGCACUCUUCAGUUUCGCGCACACCGCCGUGAACCUCAAAGACGAAUCCAGACCUCGGUUUCUCCCUUCAUCGAAGAACCAAAAACACAACCAACUCCACAGAGAAAGACAACAUCGAGAUGUGAUCGAUAUAAUUCGCGAUGAUAUUUUGCUUGUGCGUAAAAUGAAAGAGACUGAAGAAGGAAGAAAUGGCCUACCAGAUUCGUGAGUCGUGUGGUGUUGCGUUGUUCGACUCGUUCGUGUGUUCAAGGUUGAAGAGAGCUGGAUUACUAUUGAUGCGUGAGGAGUAUCGAAUGGUCGUCGUUGUUCUCCGGUGAGGCCUGAAGACGUCGCAUUCGUUGAAGUAUCGGCGAUGAUCGACAACGAUGCAUUGAAUCCUCUCCUUCGAAAUCCCGGGUUGUGAGCUCCAUUUGAUGUGAUUGAAUAGUGGUUAUCGAUUGAGAUUGAAGGCUCGUUCCUAAAGGGGGUGAUCCCGAGCGAAGAAGAUUGUGCAGUGUUAACGUUUUGCUAUCGAGGGUUGUUGGAAGGUUGAAGAAGUGUGAUGAAGAUUUGAGGGUGCAAGGUUGGUUUGUUAAAGCGGUGGAGAGGGUGAUUCAAGAAGAAGAUGAAUGAAGAAGAUGGUGAAGGAGUGCGUAGAAAAUGUGAGAGGGUGGAGGGUUUGAUGAAGGGUGAGAUUGAAGUUGUCAUAUGAAGGGAUUGGAAACGGAGAGCCCCCAGAGUGGAAGGUUGAGAGGUGGUUAUAUGGUGAUUGUAAGGGAAGUUUUUUUGGGUUGAGAAAAUCGAUUAACAGUUGGUUAGUCGGUUGAAGUUGUUGAGUUUCGGUUAUGAGCUAGAUGUAGUUGCAAUUCAGUUAGAGGUUUAUUGAGAGCCUCCAUUAUUCAGUCGAAGAUUUGGUUGUUUCAAAUUUGGUUAUCAGCCCGUGACAGUUGGAGAAAGGUUUGUGUUGGCAGCCCUGUUGCGGUUCCGUUUCAUUUUCGGUUAUAGAAGUUGGUUAGAAGUAUGUAUUGUUGGAGAGUUAUUGAGAAGUUAGUUAGGGAGGUUUGAAGAGUUAACGACAUCUAUCAUCUAACAAAUAAGACCCACGACAUCUAACAGGCAUGAUCCAACAUACCAGCUUUUGAUUUUCCAUGGCACUCAGGGGAAUACAUAAGAGAGCGGAAUCUUUGAACCCACAUGAGCGAAGAAAAAAUUCCCAGUUGGUGUAUUAUGAAAUCAAACCGGUCUUUGGAGUAUGCCACAACGUCCAUCUUACUCACUGCAACUAUAACAUGGUCUACCCCAAAACUUCUAAUAAGUCGUGCCUGCUCUUUUCUUUGUCCUUUCCAAUGUGUUUAUUUACUGCUUUAUUUUAUUUGGAUGUAUGAAUUAUUAUUGUAUCAUGAAUGGAUCUGGAUGAGUGGAAAUGGAUAUAGUUAUUGGAAUUAUUGGAUAUUUA